UAGGGAAUCUUCCACAAUGGACGCAAGUCUGAUGGAGCAACGCCGCGUGAGUGAAGAAGGUUUUCGGAUCGUAAAGCUCUGUUGUUGGUGAAGAAGGAUAGAGGUAGUAACUGGCCUUUAUUUGACGGUAAUCAACCAGAAAGUCACGGCUAACUACGUGCCAGCAGCCGCGGUAAUACGUAGGUGGCAAGCGUUGUCCGGAUUUAUUGGGCGUAAAGCGAGCGCAGGCGGAAGAAUAAGUCUGAUGUGAAAGCCCUCGGCUUAACCGAGGAAUUGCAUCGGAAACUGUUUUCUUGAGUGCAGAAGAGGAGAGUGGAACUCCAUGUGUAGCGGUGGAAUGCGUAGAUAUAUGGAAGAACACCAGUGGCGAAGGCGGCUCUCUGGUCUGCAACUGACGCUGAGGCUCGAAAAGCAUGGUAGCGAACAGAUU
rnacentral:rRNA from 1 species